CUACAGGUGAAGGUAGAACCACUCUGUGACCACAUGUGGAUCUGAAUUCACCUGGUGUUUCUCUGCUAUGGAUCAGAGUGAGGACAGAGAGGAGGGAGUCCCUCCCUCUAAAAGCUCUCUGUGUGGGGAACAUGACAGCCAGACCAAAGCUCAGAGG